GGUUAAGCGACUAAGCGUACACGGUGGAUGCCCUGGCAGUCAGAGGCGAUGAAGGACGUGCUAAUCUGCGAUAAGCGUCGGUAAGGUGAUAUGAACCGUUAUAACCGGCGAUUUCCGAAUGGGGAAACCCAGUGUGAUUCGUCACACUAUCAUUACGUGAAUACAUAGCGUAAUGAAGCGAACCGGGGGAACUGAAACAUCUAAGUACCCCGAGGAAAAGAAAUCAACCGAGAUUCCCCCAGUAGCGGCGAGCGAACGGGGAGCAGCCCAGAGUCUGAAUCAGCAUGUGUGGUAGUGGAACGGUCUGGAAAGUCCGACGGUACAGGGUGAUAGUCCCGUACACAAAAGUGCAUGUGUUGUGAACUCGAAGAGUAGGGCGGGACACGUGGUAUCCUGUCUGAAUAUGGGGGGACCAUCCUCCAAGGCUAAAUACUCCUGACUGACCGAUAGUGAACCAGUACCGUGAGGGAAAGGCGAAAAGAACCCCGGCGAGGGGAGUGAAAAAGAACCUGAAACCGUGUACGUACAAGCAGUGGGAGCCUCUUUAUGGGGUGACUGCGUACCUUUUGUAUAAUGGGUCAGCGACUUAUAUUCUGUAGCAAGGUUAACCGAAUAGGGGAGCCGAAGGGAAACCGAGUCUUAACUGGGCGUUAAGUUGCAGGGUAUAGACCCGAAACCCGGUGAUCUAGCCAUGGGCAGGUUGAAGGUUGGGUAACACUAACUGGAGGACCGAACCGACUAAUGUUGAAAAAUUAGCGGAUGACUUGUGGCUGGGGGUGAAAGGCCAAUCAAACCGGGAGAUAGCUGGUUCUCCCCGAAAGCUAUUUAGGUAGCGCCUCGUGAACUCAUCUUCGGGGGUAGAGCACUGUUUCGGCUAGGGGGUCAUCCCGACUUACCAACCCGAUGCAAACUGCGAAUACCGAAGAAUGUUAUCACGGGAGACACACGGCGGGUGCUAACGUCCGUCGUGAAGAGGGAAACAACCCAGACCGCCAGCUAAGGUCCCAAAGUCAUGGUUAAGUGGGAAACGAUGUGGGAAGGCACAGACAGCCAGGAUGUUGGCUUAGAAGCAGCCAUCAUUUAAAGAAAGCGUAAUAGCUCACUGGUCGAGUCGGCCUGCGCGGAAGAUGUAACGGGGCUAAACCAUGCACCGAAGCUGCGGCAGCGACACUAUGUGUUGUUGGGUAGGGGAGCGUUCUGUAAGCCGUUGAAGGUGUGCUGUGAGGCAUGCUGGAGGUAUCAGAAGUGCGAAUGCUGACAUAAGUAACGAUAAUGCGGGUGAAAAACCCGCACGCCGGAAGACCAAGGGUUCCUGUCCAACGUUAAUCGGGGCAGGGUGAGUCGACCCCUAAGGCGAGGCCGAAAGGCGUAGUCGAUGGGAAACAGGUUAAUAUUCCUGUACUUGGUGUUACUGCGAAGGGGGGACGGAGAAGGCUAUGUUAGCCGGGCGACGGUUGUCCCGGUUUAAGCAUGUAGGCGGAGAUUCCAGGUAAAUCCGGAGUCUUGUUAACGCUGAGGUGUGAUGACGAGGCACUACGGUGCUGAAGUAACAAAUGCCCUGCUUCCAGGAAAAGCCUCUAAGCAUCAGGUAACACGAAAUCGUACCCCAAACCGACACAGGUGGUCAGGUAGAGAAUACCAAGGCGCUUGAGAGAACUCGGGUGAAGGAACUAGGCAAAAUGGUGCCGUAACUUCGGGAGAAGGCACGCUGAUAUGUAGGUGAAGUGAUUUACUCAUGGAGCUGAAAUCAGUCGAAGAUACCAGCUGGCUGCAACUGUUUAUUAAAAACACAGCACUGUGCAAACACGAAAGUGGACGUAUACGGUGUGACGCCUGCCCGGUGCCGGAAGGUUAAUUGAUGGGGUUAUCCGUAAGGAGAAGCUCUUGAUCGAAGCCCCGGUAAACGGCGGCCGUAACUAUAACGGUCCUAAGGUAGCGAAAUUCCUUGUCGGGUAAGUUCCGACCUGCACGAAUGGCGUAAUGAUGGCCAGGCUGUCUCCACCCGAGACUCAGUGAAAUUGAACUCGCUGUGAAGAUGCAGUGUACCCGCGGCAAGACGGAAAGACCCCGUGAACCUUUACUAUAGCUUGACACUGAACACUGGUCCUUGAUGUGUAGGAUAGGUGGGAGGCUUUGAAGUGUGGACGCCAGUCUGCAUGGAGCCAACCUUGAAAUACCACCCUUUAAUGGCUGGUGUUCUAACGUAGACCCGU
rnacentral:rRNA from 1 species